AGAAUCAACGCUGGCGGCGUGCCUAACACAUGCAAGUCGAACGAGAAAGUGGAGCAAUCCAUGAGUAAAGUGGCGACCGGGUGAGUAACACGUGACUAACCUACCUUCGAGUGGGGGGAUAACAUCGGGAAACCGAUGCUAAUACCGCAUAACAUCGCAAGAUCAAAGCAGCAAUGCGCUGGAAGAGGGGGUCGCGGCUGAUUAGCUAGUUGGCGGGGUAACGCCCACCAAGGCGAAGAUCGGUAGCCGGCCUGAGAGGGCGCACGGCCACACUGGAACUGAAACACGGUCCAGACUCCUACGGGAGGCAGCAGUGGGGAAUUUUGCGCAAUGGGGGAAACCCUGACGCAGCAACGCCGCGUGGAGGAUGAAGCCCCUUGGGUGUAAACUCCUUUCGACCAAGACGAUAAUGACGGUACUGGUGGAAGAAGCACCGGCUAACUCUGCGCCAGCAGCCGC
rnacentral:rRNA from 1 species